rnacentral:lncRNA from 1 species
GAAAUAUUUUUCUGUAAUGAGACAAACAGAAGCUGCACAGACUGAGAGUCUACAGAAGAUGAAGUGGACAACAAGGAUGGGAACAGCACAUACAGGAAAACUGAUGAUUUCUUUACUUUACCAAAGGAUGGUAUUUGUGAAUAUGAACUGAACAGUCUCCUCUGCCUCCAAGUACUACGGUCAGUCCCGACAGCGUCAUGACCCCCUGCCUUCUGCCUGAGAGCCCUCUGGCAGUUGGACUGAAGUUGAAGUUGUCUGCCUUCCCAGUGCCAUGGUUUGGUCUGUAGCAACUAUUUAAUAAAGGCAUCAUCAAUGUCUGGACUCAUGGGUGGUUAAUUUCUAGAAGACUUGGUA